UACAGAGGUCUCGAGCGUUGUUCGGAUUUACUGGGCGUAAAGGGCGCGUAGGCGGCCUCUGCAAGUCGACUGUGAAAUCUCCGGGCUUAACCCGGAAAGGUCAGCCGAUACUGCAGGGCUAGAGUGCAGAAGGGGCAACUGGAAUUCUCGGUGUAGCGGUGAAAUGCGUAGAUAUCGAGAGGAACACCUGCGGCGAAGGCGGGUUGCUGGGCUGACACUGACGCUGAAGCGCGAAAGCUAGGGGAGCGAACGGG
rnacentral:rRNA from 1 species